AUUGAACGCUGGCGGCGGGCCUAACACAUGCAAGUCGAACGAGUGGCGGACGGGUGAGUAAUGUCUGGGAAACUGCAUGAUGGAGGGGGAUAACUACUGGAAACGGUAGCUAAUACAGCAUACCAUCGGAUGUGCCCAGAUGGGAGUAGCUAGUAGGUGGGGUAAAGGCUCACCUUGGCGACGAUCCCUAGCUGGUCUGAGAGGAUGACCGACCACCCGGGAACUGAGACACGGUCCAGACUCCGACGGGAGGCAGCAGUGGGGAAUAUUGCACAAUGGGCGCAAGCCUGAUGCAGCCAUGCCGCGUGUAUGAAGAAGGCCUUCGGGUUGUAAAGUACUUUCAGCGGGGAGGCGGUACCCGCAGAAGAAGCACCGGCUAACUCCGUGCCAGCAGCCGCGGUAAUUC
rnacentral:rRNA from 1 species